UACGUAGGGUGCGAGCGUUGUCCGGAAUUAUUGGGCGUAAAGGGCUCGUAGGCGGUUUGUCGCGUCGGGAGUGAAAUCAUCUGGCUUAACUGGGUGCUUGCUUUCGAUACGGGCAGACUAGAGGUAUGCAGGGGAGAACGGAAUUCCUGGUGUAGCGGUGAAAUGCGCAGAUAUCAGGAGGAACACCGGUGGCGAAGGCGGUUCUCUGGGCCUUACCUGACGCUGAGGAGCGAAAGCGUGGGGAGCGAACAGG
rnacentral:rRNA from 1 species